ensembl:piRNA 21ur-851 ncRNA
UCCGUAUGGUACAAUAGGAAG